rnacentral:rRNA from 1 species
UACGUAGGGUGCGAGCGUUAAUCGGAAUUACUGGGCGUAAAGCGUGCGCAGGCGGUUUUGUAAGUCUGUCGUGAAAGCCCCCGGGCUCAACCUGGGGAAUUGCGAUGGAGACUGCAAGGCUUGAAUCUGGCAGAGGGGGGGUAGAAUUCCACGUGUAGCAGUGAAAUGCGUAGAGAUGUGGAGGAACACCGAUGGCGAAGGCAGCCCCCUGGGGUCAAGAUUGACGCUCAUGCACGAAAGCGUGGGGAGCAAACAGG